GCCAUCUGUUCCGCGAGCAAUGUGUCCUGCCCACUGCCACUUCAGUGUCGCAAUCCUUUGGGCUAUGUCGGUUACCAUGGUUUUCCUGCGAAUCUCCUCAUUUCUGAUUUGGUCUCGCAGGGAAACUCCGAGCAUAGCCCUCUCCAUUGCUCUUUGGGUGACCUUGAGCCUUCUCAUAAGGCCCAUUGUGAGCGACCACGUCUCAGUGCCAUAUGUCAUCACUGGCAACACACACUGGUCAAAGACUUUCGUCUUGAGACACUGUGGUAUUUGUGAUGAGAAUAUUUUACGUAGCUUUCCGAACGCUGCCCAUCCGAGCUGGAUUCGACGGUUGACCUCUUUUUCGAAGUUGAACUUACCUAGCUGGACAGUGUGUCCCAGGUAAAUAUACUCGUCAACAACUUCGAGCGUAGAGCCUCCGAUCUUUACUGGAGUGGGCGCUACAUGAGCAUUCAACAUAAUUUAUGUUUUUUCCUUGUUCAUAUUUAGACCCACUCGGAUAGAAGCCCUACUGAGGUCUUUGAGCAUUGUACUGAGGUCCUCCAUGGUCUCGGCCAUAAUCACAAUAUCAUCGGCGAACCGAAAGUGAGUUAUGUACUCGCCGUUUAUGUUGAUGCCUAGUCCUUUCCAAUCAAGUACUUUGAAAAGAUCUUCCAGCGCAGCGGUAAAUAGUUUCGGAGAAAUAACAUCUCCUUGCCUCACGCCCCGCUGCAGAAGGAUAGGUUCCGAAGCCCGGUCCUGUACUCGGACUGACAUAGUAGCGUUUUCAUACAAACACCUCAACACUUCGAUAUACCGAUAAUCAAUUUGGCACCGUUGGAGAGACUGUAAUACGGCCCAGGUUUCAAUCGAAUCAAAGGCUUUCUCGUAGUCCACAAAUGCUAAGCAAAGCGGCAGGUUAUAUUCCUCGGUCUUUUGUACAAUCUACCGCAACGUAUGAAUGUGGUCUACGGUACUAUAGCCUUUUCGGAAACCGGCUUGUUCGGGUGGCUGGAAGUCAUCAAACAUCGUCGAACACAUAAUGCGCAAAAUGCUAGAAGAGUGGGGUGAUAGCGUCACAGUUGGGGGCGUAAAGAUUUCGAACUCGCGACACGCUGAUGAUACCGCGUUAGUUAUGUCAUUAAAAGAGGAAACGGAAGAGCUGCUGCGACGUCUGGUCAUAGUUAUCGAAGAAACAGGGCUAAAAAUCAACCAGCUCAAAACAAAGAUCAUGAUCGUGAAUAAAGCUGGAACCAUCAACAAGAAUAAUUUUCUUAGCCUAUACGACUUUGUCAAGACUAUCGUCUACCUUAGCUCGAUUAUUUUGAAUGGGGGUGGAUUGGAAACCGAAAUAAGGGGACGCGACGGAAUGGUCAAAUCCGCUGUGAGCAAGAAGACGAAACUGCAAAUAGUUGAGACACUUGUUUUCCUAAUCUUUUUGUAUGGUGCUGAGACCUGGACCUUAAAAGAGUCUACAGACGACGCAUAGACGCGUUUGAAAGGUGGUUCCGGCGGUGCAUGUUGCGCAUUCUUUAGACGACUUUCCGUACGGACGCUUCCAUCUUCAACGAGCUAAAAGUUGACCAGAGGCUAUCCACCAUAUGCCUAUAUAGAGUGGUCCAGUAUUUUGGUUAUGUAUCAAGAAAACUCUCUGACGAAAAACUCAUAGUGACGGGUGGAGUGGACGGAAGAUAAUCCAGAGGCUAGAGCCAAAAAAGAUGGAGUGGUCCAGAUUCCGAGGACCUACCUGGGCACGAGACUGAGCGACGCAAUUCACUUUGCCACUGAUCGACAGCUACAAGUCACAAGAAAAGAUCUCAGACGGGCGCAUUACGAUGCUCAGCAAUGAGCGAUCAAUUGAAGGCUUUCAUUACAAAAAGUUCGGCCGGCUGAUGGCGACGGCUGGCUCGUUGAGCUGGCUUCUUCCAAACGUCGGGGGUCCCGAAAAAGUGGUGUGCUGCCUUUACAUGGGGGCAGUGCGGUCCAUCGCACUAUAUGGUACAGCGGUCUGGUGCCGCGCCAUGACGCGCGUAAAGGCCAUGCUGUAACGUCCGCAGCGCACGAUUCUGGUAGUUGGAGCGAUCUGUGGAUGCCGCACCGUCUCCUUCGAGGCAGCAUGCAUGCUCGCCGGGAGGCUCGCUGGGCCUGAGACCCGGGGGCGGAGGUGCUCGCCGGGGAUUACGCGUGGAAUAACGAACUCUGCUCCAGGGGGAACGGUGCCCCGACGACGGAGUGUUUCGAGUGCGGAGAUUCCAAUCUCGGCAGUCCGUGCUGGAGGCGUGGUCUCACCGUCUAGGUGGUUUGCUCGGUCCUCGCGGAUUGGAUGAGUUUCAACCCAGGACACUUCACCUUCCUACUGAUGCAGAUGCUUGGCAGUGACACGUCCUGAAAGGCGAUGCUCAACUUAUAUAAAUCCACCAUCUCGCAGAACGAGGUCACGGCGUUUCCUUGAGAGAAAAAGAACUCUUCCCUCUCCGCACUGAUCCGUCGCCGUCGAGCCAAGAGGCCGAAUGAGAACGUACGAACGCACGUCCCGGGCUCUGCAGGCGGCGAUGUCUCCCUCGGUGGAGUUCGCAGGGUGACCUGAGGGCAGAUCUAGGCCGCACGGCGCGGUCACGUCACAAUAGCGCGUCGCAACAGCAGGACAUAUAAUUGUUGAAUAGUGACCGACUGACGGUGUAUCGCGAUUCCAUUUCCGAGGUAUUCUGCAACACCAACGGCUCCGCCUGGGAUGACAGAGACCAGAGCAGCACGAAUGCCCUUCUCUUGCCGCCGGCUUAAGGCGACAUAUCAGUGCGGAGAGGAAAAGCUUUUCAUCUCUCGUUCCAUAGAAUUCUGCGAGAUUGUGAACUUGCAAAAAUUUAACAUCCCUUAUUGGGGUUAUUUGCUACUCAACAGCGUAAUCAAGACGGUCGGCAACGACAAGUUUGAUCCCAUAAGGGCAUGGUGCUGCCCCAGCCACGCAGGGCAAUGCAUGAGUGUGUGCUCGGCCAUCUUCUCGUCGCAGCUAUAGCGGUGGCACUCCAUUAUCGGUUCCUUCUCAGCGGAAUACUGAGGGGCCUGACCAAACAACGCGGGGCGCUCUACGCUUCAUGGGCUUGUUACAGCCCAUGGCUCCAUGCGCCGCUACCUGUAUAGUGGUGAAAGUGUUUCAACACUCGCGGCCUGGCACGACGGUCAGAAUCGUUGAAAGUUGAAGGCGACGUGAGGGAUAGCGCCGUGUCCUCCUCACACAAAUCAAUACAAUAAAUUACGUAACAGAAAUGCGGUUGACCAUCUGGCUCAUCUGUUUUUAAACGUAUUUGUAUGCUUCCACUUACCUUGAGACAUGAGGUCUAAGUCUCAACAAAAAUAAUAAUAGUAUAGCGCCUCUUCCAUCUCAGUCUUCGCGGCAGAGAAGGUCGGGAUAGCCUACCGAUCUACCUGCUCUGCCUCACAAGAUGCUAUUGCAAGUUAUAUUUUAAUACGCGGUGAUAUUCCUUCAUCGUGCGUAGUUCACUAGACAAUUAGCAUACGUCCGCGGGAUCUGACCACCGGCGACAUAUUUUGUGAAGUCGUCGACGUAAUAGAAUAAUAAACUUUAUGGUUAGUUGAACUUAGUUAUACUUAAUUCUACUAUUCUAAUUAGUUGUACUUAUUUUACAAUUUCCAACUUUGCGUUUUAUAUUCAGCUUCAGAGUUUUCCUGACCACCGACCGAGGUGCAGUUCGCCACUAUUUGAAUAUUGCACUAAUUACGAGUAUGUAGCAACUAAUCAUUUACAAAAACAAUUUCAUUAUCAAGUUUCUUUAUAUACUCGUACACAGAGAGAGCCCGUAGUAUCAUGAGGCCAGGCAUUUGGUUUCACUUCGGUUUUAAAAAUCAAGCAGGACCAUGUAUAACAGAAAAAGUUAGUUGGGAUUUUCUGCCUGUGUAUCCUAUAUAUGCAUAAUAUAUGUUGAGUAUUUCCACUUUCGGGUAGCGACAUGGUAAGCGGGCGGUCUUCGUAAGGCAAUAAAACCAGAAAUGUUAACUCAGAACGUAUAUUACGCAGGAGCGUUCCGUCUGAUACGGCGACUCGCUCGCUUCUGAGCUCGAGCGACAACAACGGAGCGUUUUUAUAACAAGGUAUCGUGGUGGGACGAUGUUGUUUACGAUUCUUAUCUUGCACGUGUUGUUUGUCGUCCCAUCUAGUUAAGUCGGGCACCUCUGCUGACGCAUGUCUGCAAAGGCAGAUCUUCGACGAACUCAACUGCUGAAUUGUGGAAUUCGCAGACGACGGUAUCCGCUGGACCGGUGGUCCGAUGCCCUUCCCGUUAGAUUAAGAUUAGUAAUAAGUUAGUCUUAAGUCAGAUUUGGUACGGAAUAAACGUUCAUAAAAUAUAAUUUCUAUUUUUUAAAACGUACUCCGCGUGGCCUGCAACUUGACUGGCGCAGCCGGUAGGAUUUCCGCGAUCGCGAACUCAAUCUGGAAGUAAUCGCGACGUACGUUUUUACGCGUUUAACGGAAAUUCGAACAAAAUAAAUUCGUCAAGACAUCACGACCACAACAGCUCCGGAAGUCACCACCAUCUGCUUGAGAUUCACCCCGAGGAUAUGGACAGUCUGUGAGUAGACCCUAAUCGCUAUUUUCAUUCCAUUCCAUUCCUUAGUAUAAUAGUUAUACGUUUUUCUAGAAGACAGAGCGCUAUUUCCAAAAUUCGAAAAGUGUUUUCAGUUUUCUUUUAGCUAGGAAUUAAGUGUAAAAUUAAUAAAAUUACAUAUAAUACAUAAAAUUAAAGAAUAUUGAAAUUUACUUUUAGUUAUAAGAAUUACAAAAUUUUAUACGACAUACUUAUUAAAAUCAUUUCAAUUUUAUUUAAACAAAGUAAUUAAUAAAAUAAAUUAACAUGUUCAACAUAUCUCAGAUACCACGUGAAAUUGCUAACGUCAUCCCCAAAUUCGACGUCAUCCCCAAAUUCGGUGACGAAAAGUUAUUAAAUUUAUUUAUUAGAAAAUGCGAAUAUGUAAUUCGAUUGUGUCGUGUAGAUGAUAGUAGAGAACAGGACUUAUAUAUAUUUCAUGUUGUGACAUCCCGAUUGUGUGGGAAAGCCGCAGCUCUUAUUAGCGAAAGACAAGAUUUAGAUACAUGGGACUCAUUAAAAACAGCCCUAGAACAACAUUUCGGAGAUCCACGUUCGGAAGAAUGUAUUGCAAUAGAAUUAGAAACUUAAAAAAUUAAUAACGGAGAAUCGUAUCUAGAUUUCUGUAAUAGAAUACAGCAUAUUAAAAGUACUUUGAUUGCAAAAGUAAAUUUAAUACAGGAUGAUAACCUUCGUAAAAGUAAAAUUAUAAUAUAUGACAACAUGUCUAUGAAUUUGUUCUUAUAUAAUCUACCGGAGGACCUUCUUCGUAUAGUUAGAUUAAAAGGAUGUGAUUCGUUAGAAAAAGCACUAAGUAUAGUAUUAGAAGAAGUUAAUUUUAUGUUCCAAUAUAGUUCACGCAAUAAAAUGUUAAAACAACAAAAUACCCAGUGUACGGCUCCUAGACCUCAACCGUUCAACAAUUUUCAGUUUGCAGAUAAAAAUGUAAUAAAACCUCAUUUCAUUAGUAACACACAGCCUCAGUAUAAAUUCGGUAUUCCACAAAAUGUCGCAACCAUGUCAAAUCAACUUCAACAGCAAAAUAAAUUUAAAUUUGGAAUUCCCGCUAGCAAACAAAUAAAAUUACCACAAACGCAACAAUUCGGAUAUCGACCUCAAAAUCAAACUCAUUUUGGAUAUCGACCACCUUUGAACCAAAAUCAAUUUGGUUACAAGCCAAACUUAAAUCAACCUCAAUUCGGUUACCGACCCCAGUUAAAUCAAAAUAACCCCCAAUUCGGUUAUAAGCCCCAACAAUUUGGAUAUCAUCCCCCACAGGUGUUACAACCUAGGAACGAACCGACUGAUGUUAGUAUGCGUACCGCUAAGCCACUAGGAAUACGCAUGAACGAAUUAUACAACUUAAACGAUGACGAUAAUAAUUAUAACAAUUCUGAAAUUCAGAACCCUUCAUACGAUGAUUAUAGUAAUACAGAAGUAAUGGAAGAGUUUGAAACAUUAGAAACUGAUCAAACCAAAGAAUACGACCCCGUAGUAGAAAAUUUUCACAUAAUUACCAACAACCAACCCCCGCGAUAAUAAACUUAAAUUGUAUAUGACGUAGACGGACGUUACUACGGACUAAUAGGAAGUGAUCUACUAAAACAGCUAGAUACAAAAAUUGAUAUGAAAAACUUACUACUACAUACAAAUACCACUAAAAUACCUAUAAUAUAUAAUCCCGGUUGUUCAAUUAAAAUAGCCCCACGUUGUGAACAAAGAGUUAGGUUACCUACAAACCUACGGAACGGACAAGCAAUAAUGAAUUAUAAAAUCUUUUGUGACGGAGUUGGAAUGCCUAGUGCAAUAGUAAGAUGCGAAAACGGUUUCGCGACGACGGUCAUACAAAACAUUAAAGACCGCGAAGUAACUUUAAAUUUCCUUACACCAGUAACCGUAACUGAAUACAAUAGUGACACAUGUGAAAUUAACAAUAUAACUGACAUUGACAUGACAAACAUAGACGUCGAUAGUAUAUUAACCGAAAAUUUAAAUAAUAAAUUACGAUUAGAUCACAUGAAUGAAGAGGAGAAAACAUACAUUCGUAAACUCUGCUCCGAAUAUAAAAAUAUAUUUUAUUCUGAAAAACCACCCUUGACUUUUACCAACGAUGUUAAACACCACAUUCGCACUCGUAACGAAGAUCCUGUUUUUAAACGACCAUAUAGACAGCCCCAAGUGAUUAACGACGAAAUAUGUAGACAAGUUGAGAAAAUGUUAGAAAAUAAUAUAGUAACUCAUUCUCACUCACCCUGGAGUGCACCCGUGCACCUAGUACCAAAAAAAAGUGGAAAACUGAAUAAUAACGCAGACGCCUUAUCGCGUAUUAAAUUAAAUGCCUUAGACAAAGAUAAUAGCUCAUUGAAAGUAAACGUUGACAAAGAUAGAAAUAGAAAUAAACAGGUAAAAGAAAUUAUUAAAGAAAUAGAAAAUUUGCGUAGAGAACCCGAGGAAAAUUUAGAAACUAUGUCUAUUUCCGACACAGACUCUGAGAGAACUUUAACAGCCCAUUGUCGCUCACCUUACUCAAUACCAUACUGUAGUUCCACCCUGACCGCAUCCGAAGGUUCACCUAGUAACACAGAAACUGCUCAUUCCGCACAAGAUACAGAAUCGAAAGGUAUUCCUAUCUUACAAGAAGCCAUAGAUACAAAAUCAAAUCAAAUUUUAGUCUAUACAUGGCUUAUCGACAAACUCUCAGUUAAAAAUUUGUCUAGAGAAAAACAAAGAAUUUUAGAAGUCCACUUACCAGUUAAUCGACCUGACCUCGUUAAACAGUUUCUUAAGGAAUAUAUAAAGAACAAUACUAAAUACUUAAUUUAUUUCGAAGAUGACCAACAUAAGAGACAAUUUACAAAAACAAUAAUAUUUUUAUUCAAAAAGGAAAUGGUACAAUUUUUCGAAUGUACUAAAAGAGUAGUUUUUAUUGAAAAUGAAUUAGGACCAAAAGAAAUCGUUGAAAAAUAUCAUACAGGUAAAACAUGUCACCGAGGUAUAAGAGAAACACUUACACACAUUAAACGCACAUACUUUUGGCAUAAAAUGGAACAAACCGUUUCAAGCGUCAUAAACUCUUGCGAAGUAUGUAAACGUAUGAAAUAUGACAGGAAACCCCUCAGACCUACACUACAAUUAACACAGACACAGACUAAACCUUUAGAAGAACUUUUUAUCGACUUAUUUACUAUCGAAGGACAUUACUAUUACUUCAGCAAACUGGGACAAGCACUAGAAAUUACAAACCGAUCUACUCCUGAAGUAGUACGAGCCCCAAUAAAAUACUUUUCAUUUUAUGGGAUACCCCAAAAAAUCAGCUCGGACCCUGAUACAAAAUUUAAUAAUGCACUUCUAAAAGAACUCUUAGCAUUUUACAAAAUAGAUUUACACAUCAGUACACCUAACAACCCGAACUCCAUGGGACUCAUAGAAAGGUUCCAUUCCACAAUACUAGAAAUAUAUAGAUUGGCUAAAUACGAACAAAAAUACACGGAUGCAGCAUCCAUAAUGACCUAUGCUAUUAUGGCCUAUAAUCAGGCUAUUCACUCCAGUACUGGCUACACCCCAUUCGAGAUAUUCCUAGGACACACAGACUCUAGAAAUACUUUUGAUGCCGACUUUAAUAACAACAAUUAAUAAAACAAUUAAUAAAAAAACAAUAUAUACAACAAUUAAUAAAAGAACACGCAAAAAGAACUAAAUUUUUAUACAAACAUAUUUCGGAACAAACAAUAAAACUGAAGGAAAAACGAAAUGAUAAAAGAGCAGGAGAAACAGAAUUUAAUAUUAAAUCAGGAGACACCAUAUUUUCCAAAAACACAAAUAAAAGAAUUAGCAAAGAUAAGCCGCGCUACCAAAAAGCUAUAGUUACAGAUGACAUAGUCAGAAACACAGUUCCCGUUCAAAUAAAAGAACGCAGUACAAAAGUUCCAUUAAAAAACAUUAAACGCCCUUCACAGGCACCUCCGCGUCCUCCUGAUGACGAUCAUGACGCAAGUCCACGACCUUCAACUUCAGGUAUUAAAUAACAAUCCCGGAGUUUUACCCGUGAGGGAAGGCACUGCUGUUUUGAGCAAAGACAAGUGGAUAAUAGCAAGAGUAUUGGACUUUAAACCUAUUAGGGAAGACUUAGAUCUUAACAUUCAAUGUUUCAGCUUGCAUCGACAACAUUCUGGACAUACCAUCAUACUUUUGUCCAGGCGGAGCUUCUUACGGCUUCGAAAAAAGCUGGAACUCAGAAAAAAAAUGUCACAUUAUUCAGUCCUAUGGGAUAUCACCAGCCGGGGG